UACGUAGGGGGCAAGCGUUGUCCGGAUUUAUUGGGCGUAAAGAGCGUGUAGGCGGCCAGAUAGGUCUGUUGUGAAAACUCGAGGCUCAACCUCGAGACGCCGAUGGAAACCAUCUGGCUAGAGUCCGGAAGAGGAGAGUGGAAUUCCUGGUGUAGCGGUGAAAUGCGCAGAUAUCAGGAAGAACACCCGUGGCUAAGGCGGCUCUCUAGUACGGUCCUGACGCUGAGACGCGAAAGCGUGGGGAGCGAACAGG
rnacentral:rRNA from 1 species